rnacentral:rRNA from 1 species
ACGAACGCUGGCGGCAUGCCUAACACCUGCAAGUCGAACGCGACCUUCGGGUCUAGUGGCGCACGGGUGCGUAACGCGUGGGAACCUGCCCUUAGGUUCGGAAUAACUCCCCGAAAGGGGUGCUAAUACCGGAUAAUGUCUUCGGACCAAAGAUUUAUCGCCUUUGGAUGGGCCCGCGUUGGAUUAGCUAGUUGGUAGGGUAAAAGCCUACCAAGGCGACGAUCCAUAGCUGGUCUGAGAGGAUGAUCAGCCACACUGGGACUGAGACACGGCCCAGACUCCUACGGGAGGCAGCAGUGGGGAAUAUUGGACAAUGGGCGAAAGCCUGAUCCAGCAAUGCCGCGUGAGUGAUGAAGGCCUUAGGGUUGUAAAGCUCCUUUACCCGGGAUGAUAAUGACAGUACCGGGAGAAUAAGCUCCGGCUAACUCCGUG